rnacentral:rRNA from 1 species
UACAGAGGUCUCAAGCGUUGUUCGGAUUCAUUGGGCGUAAAGGGUGCGUAGGCGGCGGGGCAAGUCAGGUGUGAAAUCCCGGAGCUCAACUCCGGAACUGCACUUGAUACUGCCUCGCUAGAGUACUGGAGAGGAGACUGGAAUUUACGGUGUAGCAGUGAAAUGCGUAGAGAUCGUAAGGAAGACCAGUGGCGAAGGCGGGUCUCUGGGCCGAUACUGACGCUGAGGAGCGAAAGCGUGGGGAGCGAACAGG